rnacentral:rRNA from 1 species
AUGGAGGGACUCGCCGGAGUCAUCAGCGACCUGGCCGCCCUCUCCACGCGGCUCCUCCUCCAACUCAGCGGCGACGGCGAGAAACGCAACCUGGCAAUCUCCCCGCUAUCUAUCCAGUCCGUGCUCGUCCUUCUCGCUGCCGGUGCCACGGGCGACACCCUGGACCAGAUCGUCUCCUUCUUGGGCCUCUCCGGCGGCGCUGCGCAUGCGGCCCUCGCCUCCGAGGUGGCCACCCUUGUAUUCGGCAGGGCCGACGGCGUGGAGCCUGAGAUCCGGUGCGCCGUAGGUGUUUGGGUGGAGUCCUCGCUCCGGCUGAGGUCCGCCUUCGCAGACAAGGUCGCCUCCAAGUUCAAGGCCGCGGUGCGAGCCAUGCCAUUCAGAGAGAAUGUGGAAGAGGCGAGGGUUGAGAUCAACCGCUGGUUCGAGGACAAGACAGGCGGCUUCAUCAAAGACCCCAUGCCAGAAGGCCACCUCGACGCCACCUUGACGGCCCUUGUCAUCGGCAAUGCGCUCUACAUGAGGGGCACAUGGCUAGACCCGUUCGACCCUGAGUACACCCAGGACGGGGACUUCUUCUUGGCCGACACCGACGGGAGCCGUGUGCGCGUGCCGUUCAUGACGAGCAAAAACGACCAGUGCAUCAGCUGCCACCCCGGCUUCAAAGUCCUGCAGCUACACUACGAGAGCAAAGGCGGCAGCAACCACCGGUUCAGCAUGCACAUCUACCUCCCGGACGAGCGCGACGGCCUGGAGGCCCUGCUGCUCGAGAUCAGCUCCUCCGGCACCGCGGAGUUCGUGGCCCGCUGCGUCCCGGCGGCACGACGCGUCGAGGUGGGGAACCUGAGGAUCCCAAAGUUCAAGGUGUCAUCAAAGAUAGACGCGCGGGAUGUGCUGCAAGGUCUUGGCCCGGAGCUGCCGUUCCGCUUCACACACGAUCGGUCGGAGAUGAUCGAGUUGGCAGAGCCAGAGCCGCCUCUAAGGGUGCAGAAUGUGCUCCACGAGUGUGUCGUGGAGGUGAACGAGGAUGGAACCAUGGCCGCUGCGGCCACUGAAGCUGAUGAUGAUGUUGGGUUUUCUCCGUACGGAGAGGAACCGGCUCGCGUGGACUUCGUGGCGGAUCACCCCUUCCUGUUCCUCAUCAGGGAGGACAAGAGUGGCAUUCUGCUUUUUGCAGGGCAAGUGCUCAAUCCCCUGCUCUAG